AGCCAAAUGAAAUAACUGGCGGCAAUUGAAAUAAUAGGAGGCAAUUGAAAUACAGAUUUCCUUUUUUUAUUCUCUCUAAAGUAACCUAUCUCAUUCCCUCAACUCUCUUCUCUUAGCCUCACCCUCUCUCUUCUCGUCUUUUUAUCUCCCUCAUAUCUAACCUCUCAGAUCUCUCUCCAAGUAUUCUCUUGCAGGUGGCUGGCGUAGGAGUCUUGACGGAGAUAGCGACGGCAACGGGGACGGGGCUCGACCGAAUAAUCAACACUCUAGGUUUAGUUUUAUUUUUCUAUUUUUUUUCCUUUCCACUCACAAUAACACGUUGAAAUUUAUGUAUUGCAUACUCUUCUCUCUCACAUCACUCGCACUCGCACUCCCUCUCUUUCUCAUUCUCUCAUUCGUUCUUCCUCUCUCAGGUGCGAAGGAGUGGAUGCACCAAUCUGGGUGCUUAGCAGAGGAGUGACUUCGACGGUGCCGUGGGUGCGUCUGGGAUGGAGCCGAUCACAUUAGGGACCACACCAUGCCAUUGCAGUCCAUCUUCUCUCAAUCUUCAUCAUCUGAGUAGCAGCUGACCCCACCACUACACCAUGACAGUUCCAAUGUGCAUCAUCUGAGGUGAGCUCUCUUUUACAUCAAUGAAACUCUUUGGAUUGAAUGAUUGAUAUUGUAGACUUGUGCUUUGAGAAUUUUGCUCCGUUUGAAUGCUUGAUUUGCAAACUUAUGUGUUGGUUUUAUGUAUUGUGUGUGUGUAUAUAUAUAUAUAUAUAUUAUUUUGCUUUUCUUUGGUCAAAAUACUUUCAUUUUUUCUUUCUCAUUUCAUUUUCAAGUGUUCUUCUUUUUAUAUUUAUUUUUUUAUUGUUAAAUCUUCUAAUUGUAUUAUAUAUCGUUGAUAUUUUGCUUCUUAUAUUUCUAUCCAUGAUAUUUGCUUUUGCUCUUAAUUUGAUUUUCAUGACUUUUGAGAUUUUUGUGAUAUUAUGCCAAGUUAUGCAUUCUUAGACUUAGUUUGAGACAAUAUGAAAUAAUUUGGUUAUUGCAUUUUUAUGACUAUUUUAUACAAUAAAAUAAAUUAGUUGUUUCAGACAAUUAAAGGAUCCCUUGCUAUAGAAUUAGAACAACGAUAAUCAAAUAUUAGAUUUAAUAAUUGGUUAACUUUUGUGAGUCACUGUUAAGUAAUUGAUUAUAUACUAAACCCUAUAAUAUACUAAUACAACAUAUUAAAUAAAAUGAUGAUAAUUUCUAUGUCUUGUUGUUUCAUAUAUAAAAAAAAUCAGUUGGCAAUUGUACAUUAAAUUGAUGGUGACUCUUGUAAUUAUUGUAUCAAAUUGAGACAUGGCGUCUAAAGCAUUAUGAUGCUGAGAAAGGAUGGACUGGAAUAGAGCUCGAGCCAUUAUAUGAUAAAAUGAUGGAGUUAAGGGGUCAACAUCCUCCAGAAGAACUGUCUGAUAAAGAGAUUAUGGAGCGUGUACUUGGACGUGAUUUGGUAUACUUGCGAGGGUGGGGGCGGUCUCCUAGUGUCACAACUUCCACUUCACAUCGUGAAAAUAUUGUGGGUAAUCAAACAACUUAUGAAGAGUUAGUUGAACGACUUAAUGAUACAACUUCCCGCCUUUGUGGAUAUUCUUCGUCAUAACAAUUUGAUGGCACCGCCUCCACCACCUCCAACAGACCAAUCUUCAGCUGCAAAUUUAAGAGAGUCGCCAUCUUUUUCAGUUUGGGAGUCACAAGAUGAUUCUUAGUUUAUUUACAUUAAUUUACUAAGGAAUGAACUUUAUGAAGUUUUUAUUUUUAUUUUGGUAGGGGUAACCUUAAAAUGAUAACUUUAUGACUUAUUUUAGUAUUGAACAUUAUAAAGAAUUUUAGCAUUAAACAUUUUA